GUGGGGAAUAUUGGACAAUGGGGGGAACCCUGAUCCAGCCAUGCCGCGUGUGUGAAGAAGGCCUUUUGGUUGUAAAGCACUUUAAGCGAGGAGGAGGCUACCGAGAUUAAUACUCUUGGAUAGUGGACGUUACUCGCAGAAUAAGCACCGGCUAACUCUGUGCCAGCAGCCGCGGUAAUACAGAGGGUGCAAGCGUUAAUCGGAUUUACUGGGCGUAAAGCGCGCGUAGGUGGCCAAUUAAGUCAAAUGUGAAAUCCCCGAGCUUAACUUGGGAAUUGCAUGCGAUACUGGUUGGCUAGAGGAUGGGAGAGGAUGGUAGAAUUCCAGGUGUAGCGGUGAAAUGCGUAGAGAUCUGGAGGAAGACCGAUGGCGAAGGCAGCCAUCUGGCCUAAUACUGACACUGAGGUGCGAAAGCAUGGGGAGCAAACAGGAUUAGAUACCCCUGUAGUCC
rnacentral:rRNA from 1 species